rnacentral:rRNA from 1 species
CCAGACUCCUACGGGAGGCAGCAGUGAGGAAUAUUGGUCAAUGGCCGCAGGGCUGAACCAGCCAAGUCGCGUGAGGGAUGACGGUCCUAUGGAUUGUAAACCUCUUUUGUCAGGGAGCAAAGGGCGCCACGUGUGGCGCUUUGCGAGUACCUGAAGAAAAAGCAUCGGCUAACUCCGUGCCAGCAGCCGCGGUAAUACGGAGGAUGCGAGCGUUAUCCGGAUUUAUUGGGUUUAAAGGGUGCGCAGGCGGAAGCGGCAAGUCAGCGGUAAAAUUGCGGGGCUCAACCUCGCCGAGCCGUUGAAACUGCUCUUCUAGAGUGGGCGAGAAGUAUGCGGAAUGCGUGGUGUAGCGGUGAAAUGCAUAGAUAUCACGCAGAACUCCGAUUGCGAAGGCAGCAUACCGGCGCCCAACUGACGCUGAAGCACGAAAGCGUGGGUAUCGAACAGGAUUAGAUACCCCCGUAGAC